rnacentral:rRNA from 1 species
GGGUUGUGAGGUUAAGCGACUAAGCGUACACGGUGGAUGCCCUGGCAGUCAGAGGCGAUGAAGGACGUGCUAAUCUGCGAAAAGCGUCGGUAAGGUGAUAUGAACCGUUAUAACCGGCGAUGUCCGAAUGGGGAAACCCAGUGCAAUUCGUUGCACUAUCGUUAACUGAAUACAUAGGUUAACGAGGCGAACCGGGGGAACUGAAACAUCUAAGUACCCCGAGGAAAAGAAAUCAACCGAGAUUCCCCCAGUAGCGGCGAGCGAACGGGGAGCAGCCCAGAGUCUGAAUCAGCUUGUGUGUUAGUGGAACGGUCUGGAAAGUCCGACGGUACAGGGUGAUAGUCCCGUACACCAAAAUGCACAGGUUGUGAACUCGAAGAGUAGGGCGGGACACGUGGUAUCCUGUCUGAAUAUGGGGGGACCAUCCUCCAAGGCUAAAUACUCCUGACUGACCGAUAGUGAACCAGUACCGUGAGGGAAAGGCGAAAAGAACCCCGGCGAGGGGAGUGAAAAAGAACCUGAAACCGUGUACGUACAAGCAGUGGGAGCACCUUCGGGUGUGACUGCGUACCUUUUGUAUAAUGGGUCAGCGACUUAUAUUCUGUAGCAAGGUUAACCGUAUAGGGGAGCCGCAGGGAAACCGAGUCUUAACUGGGCGUUAAGUUGCAGGGUAUAGACCCGAAACCCGGUGAUCUAGCCAUGGGCAGGUUGAAGGUUGGGUAACACUAACUGGAGGACCGAACCGACUAAUGUUGAAAAAUUAGCGGAUGACUUGUGGCUGGGGGUGAAAGGCCAAUCAAACCGGGAGAUAGCUGGUUCUCCCCGAAAGCUAUUUAGGUAGCGCCUCGUGAAUUCAUCUUCGGGGGUAGAGCACUGUUUCGGCUAGGGGGUCAUCCCGACUUACCAACCCGAUGCAAACUACGAAUACCGAAGAAUGUUAUCACGGGAGACACACGGCGGGUGCUAACGUCCGUCGUGAAGAGGGAAACAACCCAGACCGCCAGCUAAGGUCCCAAAGUCAUGGUUAAGUGGGAAACGAUGUGGGAAGGCACAGACAGCCAGGAUGUUGGCUUAGAAGCAGCCAUCAUUUAAAGAAAGCGUAAUAGCUCACUGGUCGAGUCGGCCUGCGCGGAAGAUGUAACGGGGCUAAACCAUGCACCGAAGCUGCGGCAGCGACACUAUGUGUUGUUGGGUAGGGGAGCGUUCUGUAAGCCUGCGAAGGUGUGCUGUGAGGCAUGCUGGAGGUAUCAGAAGUGCGAAUGCUGACAUAAGUAACGAUAAAGCGGGUGAAAAGCCCGCUCGCCGGAAGACCAAGGGUUCCUGUCCAACGUUAAUCGGGGCAGGGUGAGUCGACCCCUAAGGCGAGGCCGAAAGGCGUAGUCGAUGGGAAACAGGUUAAUAUUCCUGUACUUGGUGUUACUGCGAAGGGGGGACGGAGAAGGCUAUGUUAGCCGGGCGACGGUUGUCCCGGUUUAAGCAUGUAGGCUGGUUAUCCAGGCAAAUCCGGAUAAUCAAGGCUGAGGUGUGAUGACGAGGCACUACGGUGCUGAAGUAACAAAUGCCCUGCUUCCAGGAAAAGCCUCUAAGCAUCAGGUAACAUCAAAUCGUACCCCAAACCGACACAGGUGGUCAGGUAGAGAAUACCAAGGCGCUUGAGAGAACUCGGGUGAAGGAACUAGGCAAAAUGGUGCCGUAACUUCGGGAGAAGGCACGCUGGUGUGUAGGUGAAGCCCCUGCGGGUGGAGCUGAGACCAGUCGAAGAUACCAGCUGGCUGCAACUGUUUAUUAAAAACACAGCACUGUGCAAACACGAAAGUGGACGUAUACGGUGUGACGCCUGCCCGGUGCCGGAAGGUUAAUUGAUGGGGUUAUCCGUAAGGAGAAGCUCUUGAUCGAAGCCCCGGUAAACGGCGGCCGUAACUAUAACGGUCCUAAGGUAGCGAAAUUCCUUGUCGGGUAAGUUCCGACCUGCACGAAUGGCGUAAUGAUGGCCAGGCUGUCUCCACCCGAGACUCAGUGAAAUUGAACUCGCUGUGAAGAUGCAGUGUACCCGCGGCAAGACGGAAAGACCCCGUGAACCUUUACUAUAGCUUGACACUGAACAUUGAGCCUUGAUGUGUAGGAUAGGUGGGAGGCUUUGAAGCGUGGACGCCAGUCUGCGUGGAGCCAACCUUGAAAUACCACCCUUUAAUGUUUGAUGUUCUAACGUUGGCCCCUUAUCGGGGUUGCGGACAGUGUCUGGUGGGUAGUUUGACUGGGGCGGUCUCCUCCCAAAGCGUAACGGAGGAGCACGAAGGUUAGCUAAUCCUGGUCGGACAUCAGGAGGUUAGUGCAAUGGCAUAAGCUAGCUUGACUGCGAGCGUGACGGCGCGAGCAGGUGCGAAAGCAGGUCAUAGUGAUCCGGUGGUUCUGAAUGGAAGGGCCAUCGCUCAACGGAUAAAAGGUACUCCGGGGAUAACAGGCUGAUACCGCCCAAGAGUUCAUAUCGACGGCGGUGUUUGGCACCUCGAUGUCGGCUCAUCACAUCCUGGGGCUGAAGUAGGUCCCAAGGGUAUGGCUGUUCGCCAUUUAAAGUGGUACGCGAGCUGGGUUUAGAACGUCGUGAGACAGUUCGGUCCCUAUCUGCCGUGGGCGCUGGAGAAUUGAGGGGGGCUGCUCCUAGUACGAGAGGACCGGAGUGGACGCAUCACUGGUGUUCGGGUUGUCAUGCCAAUGGCACUGCCCGGUAGCUAAAUGCGGAAGAGAUAAGUGCUGAAAGCAUCUAAGCACGAAACUUGCCCCGAGAUGAGUUCUCCCUGAGACUAUAAGUCUCCUGAAGGAACGUUAAAGACGAUGACGUUGAUAGGCCGGGUGUGUAAGCGCAGCGAUGCGUUGAGCUAACCGGUACUAAUGAACCGUGAGGCUUAACCUUACAACGCCGAAG